rfam:Gossypium raimondii Chr03_contig_718, whole genome shotgun sequence.
AACCUAUAGUAAGGGCACCUUUUCAAUAAAUCCUUGUACCUCUCCCAUGCAUCAUAUAGAGUCUCUAAAUCGAUCUGAACAAAGGAAGAGAUAUCGUUCCUCAACUU